rnacentral:lncRNA from 1 species
AUAUAUAUAAAUAAUUUCAAAUAAAAAAGAGAAAUUCACGCGCACACACUUUUAUUAAAAUUAAUUUUACAAAGUUAAAUUCUAGAUAAAUCAACCAAAUGCCACUCUCACCUUGUAAUAAUAAUAUAAUCUAAUAUUCAACUACGAUCGAAAGAAGCUGAAACCACUUAAUACAAGAACUGACACUCAAACCAGAUUCAACUAGUGGUGAGAGCCAAAAUAAAAAUAAAAAUAUAAUCUAAUAUUCAAUUAUUGACAUGUAGUAAAAUCACAAGACAC